GACGAACGCUGGCGGCGUGCCUAAUACAUGCAAGUAGAACGCUGAAGGAGGAGCUUGCUUCUCUGGAUGAGUUGCGAACGGGUGAGUAACGCGUAGGUAACCUGCCUGGUAGCGGGGGAUAACUAUUGGAAACGAUAGCUAAUACCGCAUAAGAGUAGAUGUUGCAUGACAUUUGCUUAAAAGGUGCAAUUGCAUCACUACCAGAUGGACCUGCGUUGUAUUAGCUAGUUGGUGGGGUAACGGCUUACCAAGGCGACGAUACAUAGCCGACCUGGGAGGGGGAUCGGCCCCCCUGGGACUUGAACACGGCCCAGACUCCUUCGGGAGGCAGCCGUAGGGAAUCUUCGGCAAUGGGCGGAAGUCUGACCGAGCAACGCCGCGUGAGUGAAGAAGGUUUUCGGAUCGUAAAGCUCUGUUGUAAGGGAAGAACGAGUGUGAGAGUGGAAAGUUCACACUGUGACGGUAUCUUACCAGAAAGGGACGGCUAACUACGUG
rnacentral:rRNA from 1 species